ensembl:snRNA U6 U6 spliceosomal RNA
GUGCUCACUUUGGCAGCACAUAGACUAAAACUGGAAUGAUGCAGAGAAGAUUAACAUGGCCCCGGUGCAAGGAUGACAUGCAAAUUCAUGAAGCAUUCUAUAUUUUU